GCCUGCCUAGCUCAAUCGGAUAGAGCGUCAGACUCUUAUUUAGGCGGGUUAUCUGAAGGCUGCGAGUUCGACCCUCGCGGUGGGCU